CGGUCUCUGAGCCGCCGCACAGACAGCCGCCACAUUGUGACAGUCUGAAAAAACCGCCAAGUCCGCAAGCUCCGAGGCGGGCAUGUGCGGGAGCCCCGCCUCCGCCCCCCGUCGCCGCGCCCCCCUGGGCACGGCGUGGUCCGGAAGCCGCGCGGUGGCAGUCCGCACUGAUAGCGGGCCAAGUAACCACCGCCGCCUCAGCCGCCGCAGCCGCCGCCGCCGGGCGCGGGCCGCAUACUCGCCGACUGAGGGCCUGCCGCUGUCACAGUGUCACAGUGCCGGGCAAGUACCGGGGCCCGGCGCGGCCGGGAGCCCCCGGGGCCGCCGCAUUCAGAACGGACUGAAAAUGUUCGAUGGUCAGAGAGAGAGGGCUCCCAGGGGCCAAGUAACCACCCGGCGGCCGCCGCAGCCGCCGCAGCCCGGGCCACCGGGUGCUGAGCCUCACUCAGAGUAGCAGAAUGGGCGGGAAAUCCCGAAUAGUACAGAGAGGGGGCUCCGAGGGCCAAGGAAGUAUCGUAUGUCUCGGCACAUCACGUUCAAGCCGCCCCAGUCAGGGAGAGUAUCGUCGGAUCUGUGAGCCGCCCCCGGGUGCUGAGCCUGCCCGCGGCUCUGUGGGACCCGGUGACCCGCCGCCGGUGCAGCAGAAUGGACUGAAAAUGUUCGAUAGUCAGAGAGAGGGGGCUCCGAGGGGCCAAGAAACCCCCGCCGCCGCAGCCGCCGCAGCCGCCGUAGCCGCCGCCGCAGCCCCGCCCGUGGGCUCCCCCCGCAGUGAAAAAACGGCCAAGUCCCAACCCCUCUGAGGCGGACUCACUCAUUGCACGCCCCCGGCCCCCCCCGCCGGCCUCCGAGGCGGAGCUGCGCGCAGUUUCCGGUGGCACAUGCCUCACCUACUGACCCAGCUGACUUAGUCCAAUAGCCAGACCGCUGCCGCAGUGCCGCUCAGCCUGAAGGCGGUCCCGGUCGGCCCACUCAGUCGCCGCGCCGGCCGCCCGCCGGGGGCAAAGGGCCGCGGCGGGGGCGCCGCCCGGGCUUCAAGCCCUGAUUAGCCCCGGCUCACCGGCUGCCCCCACCUACCUCCCGGGCCCGGGGAUCAGCGUUACGCAAGGCUUCAGUCGGUGCGGCCACCGGGCCCGGGGGGGCGGCCGCCGGGCGCCCGGCCCGCCGCCACCCUGCGCCGCCGGCCGCAUGCUUUCCACCCCCCCACGAUCGUGUUACAGGUUUGAUCGUCAAAGGGCAUCAUGACUCUCCAUGUGACUGUCCGCCACUCCCCCCGCUCACGGUGGGUGAGCGUCAGAUUCAAACCAAGAGAAGUCCCGCGCGAGACCACCCCUACCCCCUGUGUGCUCAUCACCCCUACCCCCGAGCGCACGAGCGGCGAGUACCCACCCCGUCACACCCACCCACCCCACAUCUGACACUCAAGUACCCCCUGUAUACCACAGAGUACCCCCAUUUU
rnacentral:rRNA from 1 species